rnacentral:rRNA from 1 species
GAUGAACGCUAGCUACAGGCUUAACACAUGCAAGUCGAGGGGAAACGAUAGAGAAAGCUUGCUUUUUUUAGGCGUCGACCGGCGCACGGGUGAGUAACGCGUAUCCAACCUGCCCAUCACUUGGGGGAUAACCUUGCGAAAGUAAGACUAAUACCCAAUGAUAUCUUUAGAAGACAUUUGAAAGGGAUUAAAGAUUUAUCGGUGAUGGAUGGGGAUGCGUUUGAUUAGCUUGUUGGCGGGGUAACGGCCCCCCAAGGCUACGAUCGGUAGGGGUUUUGAGAGGAAGGCCCCCCCCAAUGGGACUGAGACACGGCCCAUACUCCUACGGGAGGCAGCAGUGAGGAAUAUUGGUCAAUGGGCGGAAGCCUGAACCAGCCAUGCCGCGUGCGGGAAGGAGGCCCUAUGGGCUGUGAACCGCUUUUGCCUGGGGGCAAUAAGGGCGUCGCGCACGUCCGAUGAGAGUACCAGGCGAAUAAGCAUCGGCUAACUCCGUG